UCAAUGAAGAGUUUGAUCCUGGCUCAGAACGAACGCUGGUGGCGUGUCUUAUGCAUGCAAGUCGUGCGAGCCGGGCAGCAAUGCCCAGGCGAGCGGCGG
rnacentral:rRNA from 1 species